rnacentral:rRNA from 1 species
UACGGGGGGGGGCAAGCGUUGUUCGGAAUUACUGGGCGUAAAGGGUUCGUAGGUGGCCAACUAAGUCAGACGUGAAAUCCCUCAGCUUAACUGGGGAACUGCGUCUGAUACUGGUUGGCUUGAGUGCAGGAGAGGAACGCGGAAUUCCAGGUGUAGCGGUGAAAUGCGUAGAUAUCUGGAGGAACACCGGUGGCGAAGGCGGGUCUCUGGGCCGAUACUGACGCUGAGGAGCGAAAGCGUGGGGAGCGAACAGG